AAUAGGCCCAAAACCCUCCAAAGGUAGGGCCCAUUUGAACCCAAAAAAAUCUGAAAAAAAACACGCAGGGGUCGACCCUUCGGGCAAGGGGGUUGACCCUUUAGGUAGAAAAGACAAUCUGGCACAAGCAAGGGGGUCGACCUUUAGAUAGGAGGGGGUCGACCCUAUUCUCCAGCAACCAACACACAGAUUCUGCAACAUAAGAGGGUCGACCCUCCCCAGACCGAUGUCUACCCUAUUUUCCAGCAACACUUCGAGAAACUUCACCAAUAGGUAAGGGUCGACCCUUAGGAACGCUGGUGUCGACCCUAUAAUAGAAUUUCUAAGUUCCCAAGGAACUUUUUGACGGGAACAAGCGCAAACAAACAAACCUAACGAGUUUAAAUCGGAUCACACUCCUCCAAAACCAACAUUCAGCAACUCCAAAACUCCCAAAAGAUAAAAAUAAGGGAAUUAAAUACACACUCCAAAGGAUUAAAGGAUACGGGUGUUACAAACUCCCCACCUGAGGAAAUUUCAUCCCCGAAAUAGAAGAAGGCCAAGCAAAAGGUAGUAUAAACCCAAUAAGAAACACAACCUCUCACCUAUAACUAGUUCUACACUUGGGAUAGAUUCCCAGAUUCGGAUUCAAUAUCGCAAUGCCCUUAGGACACCCAAACAAGAAGAAUUACAAGAAAGAGAUCAUGAUCACUCUUUCGACCAACAUACUCAUUGAAGUCCAAGAGACAUGGAAUAACGCCAAUUACUAGUACGUCCAAGGAAAAUCGACAACUUUUCAACCAGCAACAACGUGCACCACUACCACCAGACAACCAAUUCCCAAUUUGGAAGAAAAAUGAAAACCACCAUUAAACCAAAAAUUCGGCUGACACUAACAAAAGCCAAUGGCACACCACAAUGUAUGGUCCAUCACAACAAUUUCAAUUCGCACAAAGCUUAACAACAUUUCCAAUUAUUUAUACAGCCCGACAUUCAAAGAUAAGACAAUAAAAACCGUUUACAUUUAUAUGUAUAUAUAAAAUUUUCUUUCUCAAACGGUGUCCCAUCUUCAUCAUUUAUCAUCAAAGUACAUUUGUAAAUCUAAAAUUUUCAUAGCAAUUACAUUUACCAUCAAUCAACAUUUAGUUUCCGCUCAAUCAACAAGCCAUUCAUUAACACAACUUUGAUUAAAUUCUUAGCAUUUAGUCGACCGUGCCAUUCCAAGUCACAACACAAAGAAACGAAACGUUCAUUUGCCAAAUUAUUCUCAUCAUUUACCCGUUGAGUUUCAACCACCACGCAAUAAUUUUUGUCACCCAUCCGGUGACUUCACAACACCUUUACCAUAUACGUUUGUAAUAACAACAAACAAUAACAAUCCAGUACAUCCGAGGAGUAAUAAAACAUAUACGACUUUCCAAAAAUUGAAAUGAAAAUAGAACUACUACAAGUUCGGCAGGGUCAACACCAGCUCCAAGUACAAAGUUAGCUACAAAGCUUACCAAUAAUAAAGACACUGCCAGACGAGGAAGAGUGUUUGCGUUGGUUCCGGGUGACGUGCAAAAUGCUGGAACAGUGGUGUCAGAGGCAACGACCGACCGUAUGCAAACAGAGGCGCAACCGCACGUGCGGGGCUCACAUUCGCACGUGCAGAAAACAAGGGAAUCGAACUUUGAGGCACUGCAAUAUAUGCACGUGCGGGGCGCACAUGCAGCCCACCUUCCCGCACGUGCGACCCAUGGGAAGAAAUUCUUUGUCCUCAAUUUCUUCUGUUUGACCCUCUGGGAUUGUUAAAAUGUCACAUUCAGGAAGGGACUAUCGCUCUACCACAACACUGUAAUCAACCCGGAGGUCAGUUUUAGUCCAGCCUAACAGCUAUCUUCGAUCAUCCCGCUGUGUCCAAGCAAUUCAGUGAAGUUACCCAUUUUUGUGAAGUUCCUUUCUUUGCUCAUAGCAUUGGUCAGUGGUUUUUGUCAAAUGUAGUAAAGUGUGUAUAACCUUCACUAUCGAUGCAUUAGUUAUACCCCCAAUUGCGGGGAUGGGACUGUAUAUAUGUGUGUGUAUAACUGUCUCUUAUAUGCAUGUUCCUUAUGUGUUGGGCUAAUUGAUGGAUUGUUUUGUGAUCCUAGCAUGUAAGCGUUAGCUCAAUGGAUGUUUAUUUUAAAUUGAUAAUUGCUUCCGUUCAGGCCCCAUAUUACAUAAUUAUUGAGUUUUGAGAUUGUUAUCAAGUUGGUCAUGCC